rnacentral:rRNA from 1 species
CCUACGGGUGGCAGCAGUAGGGAAUAUUGCUCAAUGGGGGAAACCCUGAAGCAGCAACGCCGCGUGGAGGAUGAAGGUUUUCGGAGUGGAAAAUCCUUUUGUUAGAGAAGAGAAUGACGGUAUCUAACGAAUAAUCACCGGCCAACUCCGUUCCAGCAGCCGCGGUAAUACGGAGGGUGCAAGCGUUAUUCGGAAUCACUGGGGGUAAAGAGCGCGUAGGCGGGAUGGCAAGUAAGGUGUGAAAUCGUAUGGCUUAACCGUAGAACUGCAUUUGAAACUGUUAUUCUAGAGUAUGGGAGAGGUAGGUGGAAUUCUUGGUGUAGAGGUGAAAUCCGUAGAGAUCACGAAGAAUACUCAUUGCGAAGGCAACCUGCUAGAGCAUAACUGACGCUGAUGCGCGAAAGCGUGGGGAGCAAACAGGAUUAGAUACCCCUGUAGUC